rnacentral:rRNA from 1 species
CCUACGGGUGGCUGCAGUGGGGAAUAUUGGACAAUGGGGGCAACCCUGAUCCAGCGACGCCGCGUGUGUGAAGAAGGCCUGCGGGUUGUAAAGCACUUUUAGUGGGGAGGAAGGUCUGCGACCUAACACGUCGUGGAAUUGACUUAACCCACAGAAAAAGCACCGGCUAACUCUGUGCCAGCAGCCGCGGUAAUACAGAGGGUGCAAGCGUUAAGCGAGGUGUGCGGGCGUAAAGUGGUAGGUCGCGGUUGAAAGCCCCGGGCUCAACCGGGGAAGUGCAUUCGAGACUGCGAAGCUGGAGUGCGGAAGAGGGAAGUGGAAUUUCCGGUGUAGCGGUGAAAUGCGUAGAUAUCGGAAGGAACAUCAGUGGCGAAAGCGACUUCCUGGUCCAGCACUGACGCUCAGGCACGAAAGCGUGGGGAGCAAACAGGAUUAGAUACCCGAGUAGUC